rnacentral:rRNA from 1 species
UGGGGAAUUGUUCGCAAUGGGCGCAAGCCUGACGACGCAACGCCGCGUGGAGGAUGAAGACCUUCGGGUCGUAAACUCCUUUCGAUCGAGACGAAUGGCCUCCGGGUGAACAAUCCGGAGGAGUGACGGUACCGAGAGAAGAAGCCCCGGCUAACUCCGUGCCAGCAGCCGCGGUAAUACGUAGGGUGCAGGCGUUAAUCGGAAUUACUGGGCGUAAAGCGUGCGCAGGCGGCUCCUUAAGUCAGGUGUGAAAUCCCCGGGCUUAACCUGGGAAUUGCGCUUGAAACUAUGCGGCUUGAGUGUGGCAGAGGGGGGUGGAAUUCCACGUGUAGCAGUGAAAUGCGUAGAGAUGUGGAGGAACACCGAUGGCGAAGGCAGCCCCCUGGGCCAACACUGACGCUCAGGCACGAAAGCGUGGGGAGCAAACAGGAUUAGAUACCCACGUAGUCCCUGAGCGGGCUGGCAAGGCGCAU